rnacentral:tRNA from 1 species
UAGCCCAGUUGGUUAGAGCGUGGGGCUGAAAACGCCAAAGUUGUGGGUUCGAUCCCCAU